rnacentral:tRNA from 1 species
CUAAGGAAGCUGUGGAACUGGUAAGACGACCUUCCGACAAGUCUUUGACUUGUCUCGAGGUAUGAACCUUCCCGUGCUUUUUAGAACAUAGAUGGCACCAGUCAGGUGACCAUCGAAACGUAAUACGCCGGGAUGACAACCCUCACGACCCUAUGGCGAGCUAACGCCGUCCACGUUUCUCUUUCUUCAAGAAGACAAUUCGGCGAAAUAUGCCGAGUUCCGGGAAUUUGCCCGUAGCUCAGUUCGUUAGCACACGCUUGAUAAGCGUGGCCUCGGAAGUUCAAGUCAACCCGAACCCACCAUUUGCAUAUGCGAAUGAGGGUUAGGGAUGAUGGAAUGUGGCUGAUGCGGAUUGUUGCCGAACCUGCCCUUGUCCUGGGUGGUCGAGCUGGAGGGGCUGUAGCUCAGCUGGGAGAGCACCUGCUUUGCAAGCAGGCCGUCAGCGGUUCGAUCCCGCUCAGCUCCACCAAAUCGAUUGGUGUUGAAGCUGACGGCGUAAGUCUUUUGAAGAAAUAAAAGUUUUGCAUCGGCUUAUGGCUGAUGCUUGUUCACCGGUUCCCCGAAUGCCCCCGUAGCUCAGUUGGUUAGAGCACACGCUUGAUAAGCGUGGGGUCGGAAGUUCAAGUCUUCCCGGGGAAUGAGCAAUGCAUAUGCGAAUGAGCCUUACCCUGAUGGAAUGUGGCUGAUGCCGAUUGUUGCCGAACCUGGGCUUGCUUUGAUCCAUAAUCGAGCUGGAGCCCCUGUAGCUCAGCUGGGAGAGCUGCUUUGCAAGCAAACCGUCAGCGGUUCGAUCCCGCUCAGCUCCACCUUAUCGAUUGGUGUUGAAGCUGACGGCGUUUGUCUUUUGAAGCCAUAAAAGUUAAGCAUCCCCUUAUGGCUGAUGCUUGUUCUGCAUACAUUCUGUUGCCGUUCCUUUGGAACGAACAACGAGACGAUGAGCAAUAGACAAUGAGUUCGAUUAAGUGUCGUAUAGGGUUUUUGAUGCGUCCAAGCCGGAACUUAUGAUUUCCGUGGAUGGCCUAGCCAGGUUGUAAACGAGGCCGGGACCGGCGUAUGAAAGGAAACUGGUCUGUUGCCGUUCCUUUGGAACGGGCAACGAGACGAUGAGGA